rnacentral:rRNA from 1 species
UACGUAGGUGGCAAGCGUUGUCCGGAUUUAUUGGGUUUAAAGGGUGCGUAGGCGGCCCUGUAAGUCAGUGGUGAAAUAUGGCAGCUCAACUGUCAGGGUGCCAUUGAUACUGCAGAGCUUGAGUACAGAUGAGGUAGGCGGAAUUGACGGUGUAGCGGUGAAAUGCUUAGAUAUCGUCAAGAACACCGAUAGCGAAGGCAGCUUACUGGGCUGUAACUGACGCUGAGGCACGAAAGUGUGGGGAUCAAACAGG